AAAAAUUGGUAUGAAGCAGAAAAAAUACCAUGUAUGACUAGGAUGUAAAUUAUGGUUUAUAUUAAAAGUUCGUUCAAAACACGAUGAAAAGGCACCUAAAACGAGAACAAUAAAAACAAUAACGAAAAUAUCCGGAUCUUCGUCUGAAAAGACUAUUCCUCAAUUUUCAUACAAUUUAGAUAGAUGAUCCAAUGCACAAAAAGAAGUACUUUAGUUUACUGAUUGAAGAAUGUGAAUGAAUGGCCUUCGCAAGAAUUAUUAUUGUUUGUCAUAUAUCUGUCUAGAGGUGUGAUCAACAAUUUUAAUGCGACGACAAAUUUCAUCGAAUUAUACGUCAUUUAAUACGUGAGAUUACGUAAAUCUUUUGAUGUUGCGAGGAAUUAUAGAAUUGUCUUCAUGUUGCAAUGGCCGUGACGACGAUGCCAAUAUGUCACACAAUAAAAAUAACGGAUGUGUGAAAGCUUGUAAAAAUAAACGUGGUUAUGGUAAUAGGUUGAUGUUUUAAUGGCACAUUUAGGAUAAUUUUCACCUCGGAAAAACAAUUUUCACGCUUCGAAGUUGUCAGAGAAUGGCAUGGGCGCAAUUGAGGGCAAUGUAGGUUGCAAUAUGAUCCGAUAGGAAUCACCGAGUGAAAUACUAAGUUUUCUCAGUCUGGUAUACGAGCGGCGAUCAAAAACGCUCCGAUAUUUACUAUACGUUUCAUUUCAAUGUUUUGCAAUAUUCAAUCUGCAGUAAAUAGUAUUUGGUCGGCGGGUUUACUUAUAUUUUUUCAAGUAUGGGAAAGAAGAUUCAGGAUUUCACGUAAAUACGAUCUAAUCGCUUUCGAACUAUUUAUUAUGUUCUUGUAUUACUUUUAUUAACAAUUUUGCUUAUUUUUGUACAAAAUUUAUAUAUACGCACUUCAAAUCAAAAUUUGUCCCUUACGUAUCCUCUGUUAUCAUCACAACAUUAAGCAUCAAAGUAUUUGUAUUUACCGUAACAUAUUUGCGGUCAGCGAACAACCAAGAGUUGGGUCAGCGGACUUGUGCGGGCUCCAUUCUGAGCGCGCUAUCAGAACGUAAUCGGUAGCGCGCAGACGUAUUGUCGCGACGUUGCAUCGCCGGUACAGCCCAAUUACAAGUAGCUAAGACAGUAAUGAGCAGCAAACGACAUUAUCGGGAGUUUAUCGAAUGUAAAUUUCAUCACCGCUAAUGCUUCCUACGUGCUCCCGAUCAUAUUUUUAUCCUAUUAUAGGUAUCUUUUCCGCAAUCUGUUUUAUUUAUUAAGUUAUGUACAAGAUGCGCUUUAUUGAGGGCUCUUAUGCAGUAAUUCUGUUGACUGUCCACGCCAUAAAGUCUACGCACCUUAUCAUCAAUCUAACUCGAUCAAACUUGGUCUACGUUAUUUAUCGGUUGUUUCAUUCAGAUUUAGUUUAUUUUGUACUAACAAACACCCGUGUUUGCUUUUCCUCAUUCCAUUGUAAAUAUUUGCAUACUUGAUAUUGUCAUGUUGCAGUGGCUUCUUUUGCUUGUCUUUUGAUUAAUUGUCGUCAACGAAAUUCUCGCAUAUCAAUGUUGUUUACAAUUAAUAUUACUUACUUAAUUUUGGCAACUUUCAUACAAAACUGCUAACAUACACGAUAUUUUAUUUAUUGUGGUUUUAAGCAUAAGUGCUUGUUUGUAAAAUAUCAAAUAAAUAAAUCGA